UCUCAUCCAUAAAUCAUACAUUUAAUUGUCAAAGACUUGAAAAGGUUCGACUUUUCAUUUAACUACAAAAAUAUUAGGAAAUGAUUUAUAAGCGAUGGGCUGGAAAGAAAAAGGUGAUCGCAAUGCGUAAUGGAUGGCAUAACUUUUUUGUAAGUUGUCUUCGAGACAUAAACAGUAGUCUGGACUCCCGUGGAAAGCAAUUAAUAUGCACCCAUGGGGGCAAGACCGUAGUUGCGACGCCUCCUUGCCUCAUUACACUGCCAUUGAGGGCGUGUAUCGCGCUAUUUUAGUGGGCGUGGCGUCGGCACUUCACUAAUUGCUGAUGGAUAUGUAAAAUGCAAAAUGCAAUAUGGAAAAAUCAGAAAAUGCAAAUGGAGAUGCGGUCGUUGUCGAGGAAAGUGCAAUAUGAACGGCACAAUAAAUUUCACAUCUCUUACACAA